UCAUAUCUGCCUGUCCGAGGUGCCGGCCGUUUCGAAAGAAUCGGUCGGAGAAUUGGGAAGCCGGUUUGAAGCCGGCGCUGCCCCCGCAACGGUAGCAGAGCGAAACGGGUGACGAGAACCACUGGGCCGGACGGCCUGGGAAGGUGUCGCCCGAUCCGGAAACCGGAUGGCUCUGGAGCCCGGAAACCAGCCACGGAUCGAUGAACUCG
rnacentral:ncRNA from 2 species